UUGACCUCGAAUCAGGUAGGGAUACCCGCUGAACUUAAGCAUAUCAAUAAGCGGAGGAAAAGAAACCAACCGGGAUUACCUCAGUAACGGCGAGUGAAGCGGUAACAGCUCAAAUUUGAAAUCUGGCUCUUCCGGAGUCCGAGUUGUAAUUUGUAGAAGAUGCUUUGGGAGGUAGGGCCGGCCUAAGUUCCUUGGAACAGGACAUCAGAGAGGGUGAGAAUCCCGUAUGUGGCCGUGGCCUACGCCCGUGUAAAGCUCUUUCGACGAGUCGAGUUGUUUGGGAAUGCAGCUCAAAAUGGGUGGUAAAUUUCAUCUAAAGCUAAAUAUUGGCCAGAGACCGAUAGCGCACAAGUAGAGUGAUCGAAAGAUGAAAAGCACUUUGGAAAGAGAGUUAAACAGUACGUGAAAUUGUUGAAAGGGAAGCGCUUGCAACCAGACUUGGGCGUCGUCGAUCAUCCGGGGUUCUCCUCGGUGCACUCGACGAGGCACAGGCCAGCAUCGGUUUGGAUGGUUGGAGAAAGGCCCUAGGAACGUAGCUCUCUUCGGGGAGUGUUAUAGCCUAGAGCGCAAUGCAGCCCAUCCGGACCGAGGACCGCGCCUUUGGCUAGGAUGCUGGCGUAAUGGUUGCAAGCGACCCGUCUUGAAACACGGACCAAGGAGUCUAACAUCUAUGCGAGUGUUUGGGCGUUAAACCCAUACGCGGAAUGAAAGUGAACGUAGGUGAGAACCCGUCAGGGUGCAUCAUCGACCGUCCUGAGUCUUCGGAUGGAU
rnacentral:rRNA from 1 species